UUCCGGAGCUAACGCGUUAAAUAGACCGCCUGGGGAGUACGGCCGCAAGGUUAAAACUCAAAUGAAUUGACGGGGGCCCGCACAAGCGGUGGAGCAUGUGGUUUAAUUCGAUGCAACGCGAAGAACCUUACCUGGUCUUGACAUCCACAGAACUUAGCAGAGAUGCUUUGGUGCCUUCGGGAACUGUGAGACAGGUGCUGCAUGGCUGUCGUCAGCUCGUGUUGUGAAAUGUUGGGUUAAGUCCCGCAACGAGCGCAACCCUUAUCCUUUGUUGCCAGCGGUCCGGCCGGGAACUCAAAGGAGACUGCCAGUGAUAAACUGGAGGAAGGUGGGGAUGACGUCAAGUCAUCAUGGCCCUUACGAGUAGGGCUACACACGUGCUACAAUGGCGCAUACAAAGAGAAGCGACCUCGCGAGAGCAAGCGGACCUCAUAAAGUGCGUCGUAGUCCGGAUUGGAGUCUGCAACUCGACUCCAUGAAGUCGGAAUCGCUAGUAAUCGUAGAUCAGAAUGCUACGGUGAAUACGUUCCCGGGCCUUGUACACACCGCCCGUCACACCAUGGGAGUGGGUUGCAAAAGAAGUAGGUAGCUUAACCUUCGGGAGGGCGCUUACCACUUUGUGAUUCAUGACUGGGGUGAAGUCGUAACAAGGUAACCGUAGGGGAACCUGCGGUUGGAUCACCU
rnacentral:rRNA from 1 species